rnacentral:rRNA from 1 species
UACGGAGGAUGCGAGCGUUAUCCGGAUUUAUUGGGUUUAAAGGGUGCGUAGGCGGGAUGCCAAGUCAGCGGUAAAAAUGCGGUGCUCAACGCCGUCGAGCCGUUGAAACUGGCGUUCUUGAGUGGGCGAGAAGUAUGCGGAAUGCGUGGUGUAGCGGUGAAAUGCAUAGAUAUCACGCAGAACUCCGAUUGCGAAGGCAGCAUACCGGCGCCCUACUGACGCUGAGGCACGAAAGCGUGGGUAUUGAACAGG